UACAGAGGGGGCAAGCGUUAUUCGGAAUUAUUGGGCGUAAAGGGCGCGUAGGCGGCUUUGCAAGUGACGGGUGAAAGCCCUCGGCUUAACCGAGGAACUGCCUGUCAGACUGUAAGGCUUGAGACCGGGAGAGGUGAGUGGAAUUCCCAGUGUAGCGGUGAAAUGCGUAGAUAUUGGGAGGAACACCAGUGGCGAAGGCGGCCCCCUGGUUGGAUACUGACGCUGAUACGCGAAAGCGUGGGGAGCAAACAGG
rnacentral:rRNA from 1 species